UCCUGAAGAUUACUUCCCUGCCUGGAAAUGACUUCCUUUUGUCUCUGCAGGGAUGUGGCUUAUGUGGGUUCAUGUGAUGAUGGCUGUCUUGCCCUCGCUGAUCUUUUGGGUUGGAAGGAAGAGCUUGAAGAUAUUGUGAAGAAGGAACAUGCUGUGAUAGAUGGUAAGGCUGAGGGUGCACAGGACACUGCCAAACCCCCAGCUGUGGACGUGAAGAAAGAUGAUCCCAAGCCAAAGGAAUGCGAGCCAACAGCAGACACCAGGACAGAGAAACCGGCCGGUUAGAAAGGUGCCAGUCAGUCCGAUCACCGUAUAACCCAGCCAAGAGGCUGUCUGAGCAGGGGAGAUAACCUGGUGCGACUCUAGUAAUUUUAUAUUAACUGCUUUAAGAGUGACUGUACAACAUGGGACUGAUUCUCCCUUCCACACCUAUUACACUUUCAACCUUGUAGGUUUUCACAUACAUGAUUCUUGUCACUGUUUGCUACCGUGCCUCUAGAUGUCACUGGUUUUCCAUUUCCUUCAAUUGUCAGCAUCUAGAGGUGGUGGGUGGCGGAUGGGGUGGGGGGUGGACCGGUUUGGCUGCAGCUCUUUCGGGCAGACCGAUCUGCAGCAAUCUGAGCAGCCAGUGACUUCUGUUUCUUACGAUCCUUGUGUCUCGCUCCCCUAAACCAAGCUGGGGCCGAAAACACUGCUGCCUGGGAACCAGCUCCACUCAGGACAGUUUAAAGAGAAUGCUUUCUUUGUUAGCUUCAUUACAUAAGUCAAAAACUCUGCAUGCUCGAGUCUUAGAGAGAGAAAAACACUGGCAACUCAAAGAUUGGAGAAUUGAACCGUGUAACUAAAGGAUGAAAAAUGGCUUCGAAUUCCAGAGUGCUGAUGUUUAUAUUUUAAAUGCCUUAACCCUAACCCCUAUGAAUUCUUUCUCAAUACAAAGAUACAGGUAAUAAUUAUUAUUGAUGUAAAUAUAUAUAAAUAAACGGGUGGCAUAUUUCUGAUCCAACUGCAAAUUAAAACUUCAAAUUUGA